GAGGUAUCUUUAGUGUGUGUGGGUGGUAUCUUUAGUGUGUGUGGGUGGUAUCUUUAGUGUGUGUGGGUGGUAUCUUUAGUGUGUGUGGGUGGUAUCUUUAGUGUGUGUGGGUGGUAUCUUUAGUGUGUGUGGGUGGUAUCUUUAGUGUGUGUGGGUGGUAUCUUUAGUGUGUGUGGGUGGUAUCUUUAGUGUGUGUGGGUGGUAUCUUUAGUGUGUGUGGGUGGUAUCUUUAGUGUGUGUGGGUGGUAUCUUUAGUGUGUGUGUGGGUGGUAUCUUUAGUGUGUGUGUGUGUGUGGGUGGUAUCUUUAGUGUGUGUGUGGGUGGUGGUAUCUUUAGUGUGGGUGAGUAUCUUUAGUGUGUGUGGUGGUAUCUUUAGUGUGUGUAGUGUCUUUAGUGUGUGUGGUGGUAUCUUUAGUGUGUGGUGGUAUCUUUAGUGUGUGUGGUGGUAUCUUUAGUGUGUGUAGUGUCUUUAGUGUGUGUGGUGGUAUCUUUAGUGUGUGUAGUGUCAUUAGUGUGUGUAGUGUCUUUAGUGGUAUCUUUAGUGUGUGUGUGUGGGGUGGUAUCUUUAGUGUGUGGGGUGGUAUCUUUAGUGUGUGUGUGUGGGGUGGUAUCUUUAGUGUGUGUGGGGUGGUAUCUUUAGUGUGUGUAGUGUCUUUAGUGUGUGUGGGGUGGUAUCUUUAGUGUGUGUGGUGGUAUCUUUAGUGUGUGUGGUGGUAUCUUUAGUGUGUGUAGUGUCUUUAGUGUGUGUGUAGUGUCUUUAGUGUGUGUGGGGUGGUAUCUUUAGUGUGUGUGGUGGUAUCUUUAGUGUGUGUAGUGUCUUUAGUGUGUGUGGGGUGGUAUCUUUAGUGUGUGUGGUGGUAUCUUUAGUGUGUGUAGUGUCUUUAGUGUGUGUGGGGUGGUAUCUUUAGUGUGUGUGGUGGUAUCUUUAGUG